UGGCUCAGAUGGUAAAGUGUCUGCCUGUAACGCAGGAGACCUGGGUUCAAUUCCUGG
rnacentral:tRNA from 1 species